CCUACGGGUGGCAGCAGUGGGGAAUAUUGCACAAUGGGGGAAACCCUGAUGCAGCGACGCCGCGUGUGUGAAGAAGUAAUUCGUUAUGUAAAGCUCUAUCAGCAGGGAAGAAAAUGACGGUACCUGAGUAAGAAGCCCCGGCUAACUACGUGCCAGCAGCCGCGGGAAUACGUAGGGGGCAAGCGUUAUCCGGAUUUACUGGGGGGAAAGGGAGCGUAGACGGCAGGGCAAGUCUGGUGUGAAAGGCCGGGGCUCAACCCCCGGCCUGCUCUGGAAACUGGACGGCUGGAGGGCAGGAGAGGGAAGUGGAAUUUCUAGUGGAGCGGGGAAAUGCGGAGAUAAUAGGAGGAACACCAGUGGCGAAGGCGGCUUACUGGACUGUAACUGACGUUGAGGCUCGAAAGCGUGGGGAGCAAACAGGAUUAGAUACCCCAGUAGUC
rnacentral:rRNA from 1 species